UAACACGGGGGGAGCAAGCGUUGUUCGGAAUUACUGGGCGUAAAGGGCGUGUAGGCGGUCAGGUAAGUGGGAUGUGAAAUCCUCCGGCUCACCCGGAGACCUGCAUCCCAAACUGUCUGGCUUGAGUAUGGGAGAGGAUGAGGGAAUUCCUGGUGUAGCGGUGAAAUGCGUAGAUAUCAGGAGGAACACCGGUGGCGAAAGCGCUCAUCUGGCCCAAUACUGACGCUGAGGCGCGAAAGCUAGGGGAGCAAACGGGAUUAGAUACCCCGGUAGUCCUAGCCGUAAACGGUGAGCACUAGGUGUUGGAGGCAUCGACCCCUCCAGUGCCGCAGCUAACGCAUUAAGUGCUCCGCCUGGGGAGUACGGCCGCAAGGUUG
rnacentral:rRNA from 1 species